rnacentral:snRNA from 1 species
CUUGCAUUUAGGAUUGCUCAUUU